UACGUAGGGUGCAAGCGUUAAUCGGAAUUACUGGGCGUAAAGCGUGCGCAGGCGGUUUUGUAAGUCUGUCGUGAAAUCCCCGGGCUCAACCUGGGAAUUGCGAUGGAGACUGCAAGGCUAGAAUCUGGCAGAGGGGGGUAGAAUUCCACGUGUAGCAGUGAAAUGCGUAGAGAUGGUGAGGAACACCGAUGGCGAAGGCAGCCCCCUGGGUCAAGAUUGACGCUCAUGCACGAAAGCGUGGGGAGCAAACAGG
rnacentral:rRNA from 1 species